UACGAAGGGUGCAAGCGUUAAUCGGAAUUACUGGGCGUAAAGCGUGCGCAGGCGGCUUUGCAAGACAGAUGUGAAAUCCCCGGGCUCAACCUGGGAACUGCAUUUGUGACUGCAAGGCUAGAGUACGGCAGAGGGGGAUGGAAUUCCGCGUGUAGCAGUGAAAUGCGUAGAUAUGCGGAGGAACACCAAUGGCGAAGGCAAUCCCCUGGACCUGUACUGACGCUCAUGCACGAAAGCGUGGGGAGCAAACAGG
rnacentral:rRNA from 1 species